GCUUACGGCCAUACCAGCCUGGGUUCGCCCCGAUCUCGUCUGAUCUCGGAAGCUAAGCAGGGUCGGGCCUGGUUAGUACUUGGAUGGGAGACCGCCUGGGAAUACCAGGUGCUGUAAGCA
rnacentral:rRNA from 1 species